rnacentral:rRNA from 1 species
UAAGGAAUCUUCCACAAUGGGGGCAACCCUGAUGGAGCAACGCCGCGUGCAGGAUGAAGGCUUUCGGGUCGUAAACUGCUUUUAUGAGUGAAGAAUAUGACGGUAACUCAUGAAUAAGGAUCGGCUAACUACGUGCCAGCAGCCGCGGUCAUACGUAGGAUCCAAGCGUUAUCCGGAGUGACUGGGCGUAAAGAGUUGCGUAGGUGGUCCGUAAAGCGAAUAGUGAAAUCUGGUGGCUCAACCAUCAAUCCAUUAUUCGAACUCACGGACUCGAGAACAGCAGAGGUAACUGGAAUUUCUGAAGUAGGGGUAAUAUCCGUAGAUAUCAGAAGGAACACCAAUGGCGUAGGCAGGUUACUGGGCUGUUUCUGACACUGAGGCACGAAAGCGUGGGGAGCGA